GCUCAAAUUUGAAAUCUGGCCCUCGGGUCCRAGUUGUAAUUUGUAGAGGAUGCUUUUGGCGCGGUGCCUUCCGAGUUCCCUGGAACGGGACGCCUUAGAGGGUGAGAGCCCCGUACGGUUGGACACCAAGCCUCUGUAAAGCUCCUUCGACGAGUCGAGUAGUUUGGGAAUGCUGCUCUAAAUGGGAGGUAAAUUUCUUCUAAAGCUAAAUAUUGGCCAGAGACCGAUAGCGCACAAGUAGAGUGAUCGAAAGAUGAAAAGCACUUUGAAAAGAGGGUUAAACAGCACGUGAAAUUGUUGAAAGGGAAGCGUUUGCGACCAGACCUUUUCCUGGCGGAUCAUCCGGUGGUUUCCACCGGUGCACUUCGCCAGGUCGAGGCCAGCAUCGGUUUCCGCAGGGGGAUAAAAGCUCAGGGAACGUAGCUCCUCCGGGAGUGUUAUAGCCCUCCGCACAAUACCCUUGGGGGGACCGAGGACCGCGCCUUCGGGCAAGGAUGCUGGCAUAAUGGUUGUCAACGACCCGUCUUGAAACACGGACCAAGGAGUCGAACAUUUGUGCGAGUGUUUGGGUGUUAAACCCUCACGCGUAAUGAAAGUGAACGGAGGUGAGAGCCUUGUUAGGUGCAUCAUCGACCGAUCCUGAUGUCUUCGGAUGGAUUUGAGUAAGAGCAUAACUGUUCGGACCCGAAAGAUGGUGAACUAUGCGUGGAUAGGGUGAAGCCAGAGGAAACUCUGGUGGAGGCUCGCAGCGGUUCUGACGUGCAAAUCGAUCGUCAAAUCUGCGCAUGGGGGCGAAAGACUUAUCGAACCAUCUAGUAGCUGGUUACCGCCGAAGUUUCCCUCAGGAUAGCAGUGUUGUUCUUCAGUUUUAUGAGGUAAAGCGAAUGAUUAGGGACUCGGGGGCGCUUUUUUGCCUUCAUCCAUUCUCAAACUUUAAAUAUGUAAGAAGCCC
rnacentral:rRNA from 1 species